GAUAUCAGAUAACUCAUUGUCUCCUUGAGCUAUCUGCUAUAUAUGCGUUCCAGCGUCCACAUCCACAUCCACACGGCGGUAGCAGGAGAAUAUCCCAAUCGGAAACGUGCCCCGCGCGCCUCGUGCCGCCGUACGUCAGCCCCGCCGCCGGCCACCCCAUUAGUCAUACGUCGCGACUACAAAUAGGCCAACCACGUCUCCUCCCGUUCAUUCUCGUGAACCUCUGAAUUCUGAUACUCCUCCCCGACCUCCCCCCACUACCCUGGGCUCAUCGACCUCCUCAUCAACCGCGCAACGACGAUCGACCUCCAUUCAUCCGACGAUCUUCGCCGUGCCGUGCAACGACGCGCUCUAUACUAUAUGGCGCCGCAAACGACGGGUCCUACCUAUGACCCGGCGCCUAUUGAUCAAGUCUGGAUUAUUGUUGACAAGGAUGGAGGGGUCUAUAUUGGCAGCGAUGACACUGAAUAGCCGGUGAUACUUUGAUCUCUCGUCUCAAUUCCUUUGCUAUCUGUAUUAUGUUUUCAUGUGCAUACGCGUAUCGCUAAAAGUGAUGUUUUUAUCCACUGGAAUAUACCGAAAAAGGCUUUCGCUCAGAAGACAUACAAGGACUAGUUCAAAAGACACACACCCAAGUCGCACAACAAUAAAUCCAGAGGUACUGCUGAGGGCACAGCUCAACAAGCCCAAAACACACACGAAAUAAGAGACAGGCUCAGCCGGGGCCAUGGCCGGAGAGCAAACAGACGACUAAUCAGGCUCAGGCGGAGGCGGCGGUGGUGGCGGCGACAGGCGGACGGCCAUCGAGCGGAGGUCGGCGAUGAAGGCGGAGACGGCGUCCCGGUCCCGAGGGCGGCUAAGCGGCCGCCAGAGCUGCAAGUAACCAGACAGUUUGAAGAGAGCGUCAGUAGAUCGUCGAAGAGGGGAGCCUGAAUCACAAGCUUAUUGCGAAUAGUCCAGAGCGUCCACGCGAGGGCCCCAAUCUCAAGCCACCUACUGUGGCGAGAGGACAGUGGGGAGGCCUGUAGCUCGGCGAAGAGGUCGGGGAAGUUGGAGUGGCACCAAUCCCCACCAACCGCUGGAAUAUAUAUGCUUCAUACACAUAUUUGCAGUUAUCCUUAUAAAAGUAACAGUCAACUUGCUUGCUUAAUUCCCCGGAAAAAAAAACUUGCUUGCUUAAUUAUGAAGUUGACUAUGAGCGUGAGUUGAUUAGCCCGUGUGUGACUAGUCGUUGUCUCUAAGAUGCUUGUUAGUUUAUUAUCCUGUCGGCUGCUUGUUCAACAAGUGGGACCUACCGUUAAGAUUACACAAAUAUUCAGUGAGUAUUUCCUUUUCUUCUCUCUUUAUAUUAGGUCUGCUUUCCGCUCAAUUUGGUCUCGUAUCUUCUAUGUCCUUUGAGUAAUUCGAAGAUAUGGAAACUCUCUACGCAUACCCCAUACCAACUUCUCUCUUUUGUGCCCCCUCAUCCUUUGCUGCCGAUGCGGUCGCAUCUCUCCGACUGGACCUGCACAUGGAUUUGCGGUCCUCUGCAACCCCGACGGGCGUCCCAAUCCUCGUCGUUUUCAGUCGCCGUCAUUGCUGCCAUGACCAUGCUGUCGUCGUCUUGGUCACCCCUUCAACCACGCAUGUCAUCAAUGACUGUAUCACCUAUUCACCUGUCCUCCUGUCGUACAUGAUGAUUUGAGGCCGAUGAGAGUUGUGGUGACUGUGUGUAUAUAUCUUGGAUUAUUGAACUCGUGGCAAGAAAUUGUAACACAUGUACUUGCUGUUUUUCUACUCUAUUUGCGACAUAUGAACUGCUGGUGAAGCCAUAUGUACUCUGAAGUGUGUGUGUAUGUAUGUAAAUAAUAUAACAUCAUGGCAUAUCUACCACUUUUCCGUUC